rnacentral:rRNA from 1 species
AUUGAACGCUGGCGGCAUGCUUUACACAUGCAAGUCGAACGGUAACAGGUUAAGCUGACGAGUGGCGAACGGGUGAGUAAUGCAUCGGAACGUGCCCGGUCGUGGGGGAUAACGCAGCGAAAGCUGCGCUAAUACCGCAUACGAUCUGAGGAUGAAAGCGGGGGACCGUAAGGCCUCGCGCGAUCGGAGCGGCCGAUGUCAGAUUAGGUAGUUGGUGGGGUAAAGGCUCACCAAGCCGACGAUCUGUAGCUGGUCUGAGAGGACGACCAGCCACACUGGGACUGGGAAACGGCCCGGACUCCUACGGGAGGCAGCAGGGGGGAAUUUUGGACAAUGGGCGCAAGCCUGAUUCAGCAAUGCCGCGUGCAGGAAGAAGGCCUUCGGGUUGUAAACUGCUUUUGUACGGAGCGAAAAGGCUCUCUCUAAUACAGGGGGCUCAUGACGGUACCGUAAGAAUAAGCACCGGCUAACUACGUGCCAGCCGCCGCCGUAA